CGGGUGCUUGCACCUGGUGGCGAGUGGCGAACGGGUGAGUAAUACAUCGGAACGUGUCCUGGAGUGGGGGAUAGCCCGGCGAAAGCCGGAUUAAUACCGCAUACGCUCUAUGGAGGAAAGCGGGGGAUCUUCGGACCUCGCGCUCAAGGGGCGGCCGAUGGCAGAUUAGCUAGUUGGUGGGGUAAAGGCCUACCAAGGCGACGAUCUGUAGCUGGUCUGAGAGGACGACCAGCCACACUGGGACUGAGACACGGCCCAGACUCCUACGGGAGGCAGCAGUGGGGAAUUUUGGACAAUGGGGGCAACCCUGAUCCAGCAAUGCCGCGUGUGUGAAGAAGGCCUUCGGGUUGUAAAGCACUUUUGUCCGGAAAGAAAACUUCGGGGUUAAUACCUCUGGAGGAUGACGGUACCGGAAGAAUAAGCACCGGCUAACUACGUGCCAGCAGCCGCGGUAAUACGUAGGGUGCGAGCGUUAAUCGGAAUUACUGGGCGUAAAGCGUGCGCAGGCGGUGAUGUAAGACCGAUGUGAAAUCCCCGGGCUUAACCUG
rnacentral:rRNA from 1 species